AGCGGGGUGGAGCAGUGGUAGCUCGUUGGGCUCAUAACCCAAAGGUCGUAGGUUCGAAUCCUACUCCCGCAA
rnacentral:tRNA from 1 species